UAAGGGCAGUGCAAGGGGGCAGUUAAGAGCCCAGCUCAGGUCAGACUGCCAGUUUCCCGCUCACAUCCUGGCUCCAAUACCUCCCAGCUGUGUGAUCGUGGAUGCACUGGUUAACCUCAGUCUCCACAACCUUAGAAUGGGGAUAACAAAGGCACCCACCUCAUAGGGUUAUUGGAAAGGCUGAAUGAGUUACUUUACAGACGAAAUGUUUAAGGAAUACCUGACAUAUAAUAAGCACUGUAGGUCCAGCUAACUAUUGUUUCCUGUAAAAUGGAAAUAAUAUCAUCUUGCUGGUUAGGAUAAGAGGAGAUUAUGUAAGAUAGGGUAUGUUCAUCAUGGUUCUAAGAAGGCCCUCAAAAACGCAUUCCGUCUAUGCUUUCUAUUUAAUGAUUGGGAUCCUGAAAAAGUAUGUGUGAAUCAAGGCAUAUUUCACAGGCACUGGGGGGCUAUUUAAAGGAAAUUAUGAGGGUAAUGAGAUUAUUGAUGUUGUAAAUUUAGAUUCUAAUAAAGCAUAUUUUUUUCUGUAAGGCACACCUAUGAUAAAAGAAUAAACACAAUUAUCUCA
rnacentral:lncRNA from 1 species